rfam:Triticum aestivum genome assembly, contig: Triticum_aestivum_CS42_TGACv1_scaffold_621972_7DS
CAAGUACUCCCUCCGUCCGAAAAAACAUGUCAUCAAAAUGGAUAAAAAAGAUGUAUCCAGAACUAAUAUACAUCUAGAUACAUCCCCUUUUGAUGACAAGUAUUCCGGACGGAGGGAGUACUAC